rnacentral:rRNA from 1 species
AACCUGGUUGAUCCUGCCAGUAGUCAUAUGCUUGUCUCAAAGACUAAGGCAUGCAUGUCUAAGUAUAAGUAUUAUACAGCGAAACUGCGAAUGGCUCAUUAAAACAGUAAUAGUUUAUUUGACAAUCUAACUUAUAUGGAUACCCGUAGUAAUUCUAGAGCUAAUACAUGCUGUACUCCCGACUUCUUGGAAGGGAGGUAUUUAUUAGAUAAUAACCAAUAUUCCUUCGGGUCUAUCGUGGUGAAUCAUAAUAACUGAUCGAAUCGCACGGCCCUUGCCGCGAUAAGUCAUUCAAGUUUCUGCCCCAUCAGCUUUAGAUGGUAGUGUAUUGGGCUACCAUGGCGUUCACGGGUAACGGAGGAUUAGGGUUCGAUUCCGGAGAGGGAGCCUGAGAAACGGCUACCACAUCCAAGGAAGGCAGCAGCCGCGUAAAUUACCCAAUCCUGACUCAGGGAGGUAGUGACAAGAAAUAACAAGCGGUAGCCUAGCUACUGAAUUGCAAUGAGCCGAAUUUACACCACUUAGUGAGGACCAAUUGGAGGGCAAGUCUGGUGCCAGCAGCCGCGGUAAUUCCAGCUCCAAUAGC